GCCACCCCCCCUGUCUCGCUCUCCCUCCCGCCUCUCCGCUGCCGCUCCGGGGAUAAGAGUUUGCUCUUUACUGUACUGCAGAGAGGGCAGGCAGAGGCUAACUGCAUAAGAAAAAAGUACUCUGACAGACAGUGAUCGUUGAGAAGGUUGGGAGAGUGAUAUCCCUAACAUUGACAAGAAAAGACAGGACCAAUGGCUGAAGUUAUGGUUUUGGCGGUUUCUUGUGUGGGUGGAGCUAUCGCGGCA